rnacentral:rRNA from 1 species
GACUACCCGGGUAUCUAAUCCUGUUUGCUCCCCACGCUUUCGUGCAUGAGCGUCAGUACAGGUCCAGGGGAUUGCCUUCGCCAUCGGUGUUCCUCCGCAUAUCUACGCAUUUCACUGCUACACGCGGAAUUCCAUCCCCCUCUACCGUACUCAAGUCAUGCAGUCACAAAUGCAGUUCCCAGGUUGAGCCCGGGGAUUUCACAUCUGUCUUGCAUAACCGCCUGCGCACGCUUUACGCCCAGUAAUUCCGAUUAACGCUUGCACCCUACGUAUUACCGCGGCUGCUGGCACGUAGUUAGCCGGUGCUUAUUCUUCAGGUACCGUCAUUAGUUCGAGGUAUUAGCCCGAACCGUUUCUUCCCUGACAAAAGCGGUUUACAACCCGAAGGCCUUCUUCCCGCACGCGGCAUGGCUGGAUCAGGCUUGCGCCCAUUGUCCAAAAUUCCCCACUGCAGCCGCCCGUAGG